AGGAGGUACAACCCCAGUGGCAGUGGCCAGCCCUGGAGCCCUGGAUUCAGCUACCACAGUAGCUAUGGAGCUCUCUGUCUGCAGGGCCUGGAGGCUCCGGGGCGGG
rfam:Canis lupus familiaris chromosome X, whole genome shotgun sequence.